UCAAAACGUUCUGCCCAUGUCACCAUGGCGGCUCGUCUGCUCGAGCCCACGCACAGCAGCGCAGCAAGUCUGAUGCCUACUGUACUCAUCAUAUCAGGUUUUCCGUGGUACACGAGUGAGCUGGCGGUGCACCGCUACCUCACGGAUGUCUACCCGGCUGCGGAGCCAGUGACCACGCGACUCUACACGAACCCCACGAAUGGCGCGAGCAGAGGGCACUGCUUUGUGGAGUACAACCUGCCACCCUCCUCCGCAGCGCCGUGCACCUCUGCGGUCGCAGCAGCAACGGCGAACAGCUUGAACGGCACCGAUGUGAGGGCCAUAGCAGGCGGCUUCACCGCCCAGGGGAACAGCAGCGGCGGCAAUGGCGCGGUGGACGCGCUACUGCCGCCUGUUCUCCGGGAGGUGAAGCGGCGCGUUGAGGAGCACCCGUACGAAUGCGUGUACUUGAAAGUGCACGCCUACGUCCUGACAUCGCAGCGGUGGAGCCGCGCCGGCCGGCUCCCGGAGUUGCCCACCGACCCCCCGGCAGCUCUCUGGCGUGGCAGGGCUGGCGUCCUCGUCGGCUAUGGCGAUGAAGGCUUCUCGGUGCGUGCCGGGCGGGAGCUGGGCCUGCCGAACACGGUGACCGCCGACGGGAAGCUUCAGCUGGAGCGGCUGCGCAAGCGCCUCCGCACAACGUCCGCUCGGCGUGCGUCGGGCCACCUCUCCGCGGAGUAGAGGCAGCAGUGUUCGCCAGCGUUUGCGGCUGCAGUUUAUCUGCGCACGUACACCCGGGCCCCGCUGGCGCGUGCUGCUAUCGCUGUCAGUGCCGCUCCAUCGCACACUUGCAUGUGGGCGUACGAGCCACGGAUAAGGUCGAGGUCGCUUCGCGGGCCUGUGUGCGUGCUUACCUACGAAUGCAUUAGCCGCCCUGUCAGUUGCGCAGAGGGCGAGACGCGCAAAACUGUGCCGCGCAUGAGUAACACAAUGACUAGCUUGAAGAUGUGCGGUUGUGUUUGUGCUGCGUGGGGGCAGGGGCAUGGCCUUCAUUGCUCGACGCUUGUGGUCGCCUUUCGCGCCGUGCAGUGCUCGAGGCAAGCCAAGACAAUGUAAGCAGGCCUCUGCUCCGCCCAGCAUUGCCUCCUCUUCGCCUCGCUGGCAUCCCUUUGACCCCGCUGAGGAGUGACUUGCACCCUUCUCGCCCUCUUUCCCUCGGCCCUCCCCUCGCGUUACCCCACACACCGACACACACCCGCCUGCCUCUCUGCCAG
rnacentral:misc_RNA from 1 species